rnacentral:rRNA from 1 species
GACAGAGGGUGCAAACGUUGUUCGGAAUUACUGGGCGUAAAGCGCGUGUAGGCGGCUAUGUAAGUCGGGCGUGAAAUCCCACGGCUCAACCGUGGAAGUGCACCCGAAACUGCGUAGCUAGAGUCCUGGAGAGGAAGGUGGAAUGCUUGGUGUAGAGGUGAAAUUCGUAGAUAUCAGGAGGAACACCAGUGGCGAAGGCGGCUUUCUCGGACGGUAACUGGACGCGUGAGACGCGAAAGCGUGGGGAGCAACAGG